GAUGAAGAACGUAGCGAAAUGCGAUAAGUAAUGUGAAUUGCAGAAUUCAGUGAAUCAUCGAAUCUUUGAACGCACAUUGCGCCCGCCAGUAUUCUGGCGGGCAUGCCUGUUCGAGCGUCAUUUCAACCAUCAAGCCCCCGGCUUGUGUUGGGGUCCUGCGGCUGCCGCAGGCCCUGAAAACCAGUGGCGGGCUCGCUAGUCACUCCGAGCGUAGUAAUACAUCUCGCUCAGGGCGUGCUGCGGGUUCCGGCCGUUAAAAAGCCUUAUUUACCCAAGGUUGACCUCGGAUCAGGUAGGAAGACCCGCUGAACUUAAGCAUAUCAAUAAGCGGAGGA
rnacentral:misc_RNA from 1 species